rnacentral:rRNA from 1 species
UACGUAGGGUGCAAGCGUUAAUCGGAAUUACUGGGCGUAAAGCGUGCGCAGGCGGUUGUGUAAGACAGAUGUGGAAUCCCCGGGCUCAACCUGGGAACUGCAUUUGUGACUGCACAGCUGGAGUGCGGCAGAGGGGGAUGGAAUUCCGCGUGUAGCAGUGAAAUGCGUAGAUAUGCGGAGGAACACCGAUGGCGAAGGCAAUCCCCUGGGCCUGCACUGACGCUCAUGCACGAAAGCGUGGGGAGCAAACAGG